GGGACACUGUCAGGUGGGCAGUUUGACUGGGGCGGUCGCCUCCCAAAAGGUAACGGAGGCGCUCAAAGGUUCUCUCAGUACGGUCGGAAAUCGUACGUAGAGGGUAAAGGCAAAAGAGAGCUUGAUUGCAAGACAUACAGGUCGAGCAAGGAUGAAAAUCGGACUUAGUGAUCCGGUGGUUCUGCGUGGAAGGGCCAUCGCUCAAC
rnacentral:rRNA from 1 species